UUAGAGUUGGAUCCUGGCUCAGGAUGAACGCUAGCGACAGGCUUAACACACGCAAGUCGAGGGGCAGCAUGAGGUAGCAAUACCUUGAUGGCGACCGGCGCACGGGUGAGUAACGCGUAUGCAACCUGCCCGAUACCGGGGUAUAGCCCAUGGAAACGUGGAUUAACACCCCAUAGUACUUUUAUCCUGCCUGGGAUGGGAGUUAAAUGUUCAAGGUAUCGGAUGGGCAUGCGUCCUAUUAGUUAGUUGGCGGGGUAACAGCCCACCAAGACGAUGAUAGGUAGGGGUUCUGAGAGGAAGGUCCCCCACAUUGGAACUGAGACACGGUCCAAACUCCUACGGGAGGCAGCAGUGAGGAAUAUUGGUCAAUGGACGAGAGUCUGAACCAGCCAAGUCGCGUGAGGGAAGACUGCCCUAUGGGUUGUAAACCUCUUUUAUAAGGGAAGAAUAAGUUCUACGUGUAGAAUGAUGCCUGUACCUUAUGAAUAAGCAUCGGCUAACUCCGUGCCAGCAGCCGCGGUAAUACGGAGGAUGCGAGCGUUAUCCGGAUUUAUUGGGUUUAAAGGGUGCGUAGGCGGUUUAUUAAGUUAGUGGUUAAAUAUUUGAGCUAAACUCAAUUGUGCCAUUAAUACUGGUAAACUGGAGUACAGACGAGGUAGGCGGAAUAAGUUAAGUAGCGGUGAAAUGCAUAGAUAUAACUUAGAACUCCGAUAGCGAAGGCAGCUUACCAGACUGUAACUGACGCUGAUGCACGAGAGCGUGGGUAGCGAACAGGAUUAGAUACCCUGGUAGUCCACGCCGUAAACGAUGCUCACUGGUUCUGUGCGAUAUAUUGUACGGGAUUAAGCGAAAGUAUUAAGUGAGCCACCUGGGGAGUACGUCGGCAACGAUGAAACUAAUAAGAAUUGACGGAAG
rnacentral:rRNA from 1 species